rnacentral:misc_RNA from 1 species
GGAAACAAGAGGGAAAUUGAGCAUCUUGAUAAUGAUAUACCCCAUCAUGCACUUAACGGUGGUAAUAAGAGGAUGAGGAGUGAUGGACCAUGGGAUGUGAAGUCAUCCUCUGAUUUUGAAAUUUAUAUGGAGCAAAUGGAACAUAUAAUGGGAAAAGCUAGGAUGGCGUAUGAGGCAAAGGAGCAGGCUUAUCAUGAUAUGAGCAUGAAUCAGCAAGUGUUGCUUAGUGAGCUGCAGCGGCGGGGUAAUGUGAUUCAGCAUUUACACAAGACCAGGAUAGAGGAGCAACAAAAAGGGCAUUCAGAGGUUUAUAGGCUUGAACGUGAAUUAU